GAUGAACGCUGGCGGCGUGCCUAAUACAUGCAAGUCGAGCGAACAGACGAGGAGCUUGCUCCUCUGACGUUAGCGGCGGACGGGUGAGUAACACGUGGAUAACCUACCUAUAAGACUGGGAUAACUUCGGGAAACUGGAGCUAAUACCGGAUAAUAUAUUGAACCGCAUGGUUCAAUAGUGAAAGACGGUUUUGCUGUCACUUAUAGAUGGAUCCGCGCCGCAUUAGCUAGUUGGUAAGGUAACGGCUUACCAAGGCAACGAUGCGUAGCCGACCUGAGAGGGGGAUCGGCCACACUGGAACUGAGACACGGUCCAGACUCCUACGGGAGGCAGCAGUAGGGAAUCUUCCGCAAUGGGCGAAAGCCUGACGGAGCAACGCCGCGUGAGUGAUGAAGGUCUUCGGAUCGUAAAACUCUGUUAUUAGGGAAGAACAAAUGUGUAAGUAACUAUGCACGUCUUGACGGUACCUAAUCAGAAAGCCACGGCUAACUACGUG
rnacentral:rRNA from 1 species